CUGCAGCAUUGUUCACCAGAAUAUCAAUUCUCCCAUAGGAAUUCACAACCUCAUCAACCACCUUCUUGCAGUUGUCAUCAAAUCCUAAAUCGGUCGGCACCGCCAUUGGAUCCUUUGCAUCAACAGCUUUGGCCUGUCUUAGCAAUUCAAGUGUGUCUUGCGCAUCUUUCUCUUCUUGAGACUUAACGUAAGUGAACGCCACGGUUGCACCCUCCAGGGCAAAGCAAUGGCAGACUGCUCGUCCAAUGCCAGAAUCCCCUCCAGUCACAAGCGCUACCUUGCCCUUCAUAAAUUAAUUAUCACAGAUCAUUUCGCAUACAUUAUUUUUCACAUUCAGAAUCACUAGCCUAUAGAGGAAGUAGUAGAAGUUGCACUUGGAGGAAAGAUGAAAAAUGAUGAAAAGAAGGGGAAGAAGAGAAUGAAUUACCCGAAGCUUGUUUGCUGGCUUAUAAUCCUGGCUAGAAUGGUGGGGAGUGGGGUCCAUGGCAUGUUCUUUGCCAGGCUGAGUUUCCUGUUUCUGGGGUGGGAAAGUUUGGUCUCCAGACGCCAUUGAUCUCACGAUCACUGAUGGAAAUUUUCGCUUUGUGGUGUUGUUUCGAGUAGCGAAAAGGAAACUGCAGGGAGAAAACUGAUGAGUGCUGUUAAGGUAAGUGGUGAAAGUGGAAGACAAAGCUCGAGUUGAAGGAGGAAUUAGAAAACGACAGUACAUACAUAUACG
rnacentral:lncRNA from 1 species